rnacentral:rRNA from 1 species
UACAGAGGGGGCAAGCGUUGUUCGGAAUUACUGGGCGUAAAGGGCGCGUAGGCGGCCUGCUAAGUCGAACGUGAAAUCCCCGGGCUCAACCCGGGAACUGCGUCCGAUACUGGCAGGCUUGAAUCCGGGAGAGGGAUGUGGAAUUCCAGGUGUAGCGGUGAAAUGCGUAGAUAUCAGGAGGAACACCGAUGGCGAAGGCAGCUCGCUGGGACGGUACUGACGCUGAGGCGCGAAAGCGUGGGGAGCGAACAGG